GGAGAUAUGGCUCAGUUGAUAGAGUGCUUGCCUUGCAUGCACAAGCUCCUGGGUUCAAUCCCCAGCACCACCA
rfam:Ictidomys tridecemlineatus contig023496, whole genome shotgun sequence.